UACGGAGGGUGCAAGCGUUAAUCGGAAUUACUGGGCGUAAAGGGUGCGCAGGCGGUUUGUUAAGUCUGCUGUGAAAUCCCCGAGCUCAACUUGGGAAUUGCAGUGGAUACUGGCAAGCUGGAGUACGGUAGAGGAAGGUGGAAUUCCCGGUGUAGCAGUGAAAUGCGUAGAGAUCGGGAGGAACACCAGUGGCGAAGGCGGCCUUCUGGGCCAGUACUGACGCUCAUGCACGAAAGCGUGGGGAGCAAACAGG
rnacentral:rRNA from 1 species